CCGAGCCGCCAUCUUGAGAGGACCGUGGCCGCCCCCGCGGCGCAUGCGCAGCCCCGCACACAAACACAGGCUCUAAAGCCGGCCCUAAGGGGGUCCCAAACGCUCGCUGUUCGGCCCUCAGGUCAUCCCAAACACUCCCUGUUCGGCCCUAAGGCUGUCCCAAACGCUCGCUGUUCGGCCCUCAGGUCAUCCCAAACACUCGCUGUUCGGCCCUAAGGCUGUCCCAAACGCUCGCUGUUCGGCCCUCAGGUCAUCCCAAACACUCGCUGUUCGGCCCUCAGGUCAUCCCAAACGCUCCCUGUUCAACCCUAAGGCCAUCCCAAACACUCACUGUUUGGCCCUAAAGCCAUCCCUGUUCGGUCGCCCCACACGGCAGAGCAGCCCAAGUGACACUGACGCUUGGCUGAGAGAUAAAAUAUGGAAAGAAUAUGCUGAAGGUUGAACUCUUCAUACAGAUAAUGAAACAGUGACAGUGUAGAACAGGAGAGAGGGGCCCAGCCCCAGUGCAAAACUCAAAGACUCACAGGGCAAUGCAGCCUUCCCCUAAAAGACAACAAGGAGACAAUGAGCCUGAGAUUGAGAAAAAAAGCACUGAAAUCUCUUGUGUCAUCUACUAUCACUGUGCUGCAAUUACUGGAGAGAACCUGCUUUGGAUCACAGCAAGGAGUGUAUUAUCUCCUGAGAAAUCAGGGGCAUUCAUUUAACUUCAAAUAUGUGUGAAAGAUUUGGGCACUGGAGAUACCUGUGGGUGACUGCAGUGUUCUGAGCUUCCAUUCCUGGUAAGGAAAACACGAGCCUGUGGCUGCUAUUUCAGUUAAUGGGAUUUCAGCAAAGAGCCUUCUGUGGACAAGGACUGCAGUCUCUGGCUGCUGAGAAUUUGGAAGCCAGCAGCACUGCCAAAUCCUUUUCUGUAGCCAGGAGAAAUGCCUCAGGUAAGUGCAAGUGAAACAGGAUUUGAAUAUUCUGA